rnacentral:rRNA from 1 species
GUCCACGCCCUAAACGAUGGACACUAAGUGUCGGAGGUAUUGAGCCCUCCGGUGCCGCAGCUAACGCAUUAAGUGUCCCGCCUGGGGAGUACGGCCGCAAGGUUGAAACUCAAAGGAAUUGACGGGGGCCCCGCACAAGCGGUGGAGCAUGUGGUUUAAUUCGACGCAACGCGAAGAACCUUACCUGGGCUUGACAUGCUGGUAGUAGAAACCUGAAAGGGCAACGAUCCCCGCAAGGGGAAGCCAGCACAGGUGCUGCAUGGCUGUCGU